GAGGUUGCUCUUGAGGGAUCACCUUGACUGGGCUGCGAACUUGGAGUGCAGUCUAUGAACUCAGCUUUGCUCUGUGACCUCGGGCAAAUCGUACAAGCUCUCAGGGACUCAGUUUCUUCUGUGAAAUGGAGCCAUCAAGUUCAUUACCACCCAGGCUUUGAUUCCUCUGGUGAUGCGAUGGGGACUGGCCCAUCCAUGUGCUUUCCACCCAUCUCAGGACCCCACCAUGUAGGCUGCACAGAUGUGAUGGAGGGCCAGAGUCUCCAGGGGACCUUCUUUAGACUCUUCUACCCCUGCCGAGUGGAGGAGGAGACCUCAGAGCAUCCCCUGUGGAUUCCUCGCUAUGAGUACUACGAGGGCCUGGCUGACUACCUGCAAUAUAACAAGCGCUGGGUGGGGUUGCUGUUCAACCUGGGUGUGGGAUCUUGUCGCCUGCCUGUUAGCUGGAAUGGCCCCUUUAAGACAAAGGAAUCUGGAUACCCCUUGAUCAUCUUGUCCCAUGGCCUGGGAGGCUUCAGGGCAUUGUAUUCAGCUUUCUGCAUGGAGCUGGCCUCCUGUGGCUUUGUGGUUGCUGUGCUGGAGCACAGGGACCAGUCAGCUUCGACCACGUAUUUCUGUAAGCAGGCCCCAGAAGAUAGCCAGCCCACUGAGUCACUGGAGGAGGAAUGGAUCCCCUUCCGUAGAAUCCAGGAAGGGGAGAAGGAAUUCCACGUUCGCAAUCCCCAGGUGCACCAGCGGGUAAGAGAGUGCGUGCGCGUGCUGAAGAUCUUGCAGGAAGUCUCCAGUGGGAAAACUGUCCUCAAUGUGCUGCCUGGUGGAUUGGAUCUGAAGACUUUGAAGGGCAGCAUUGACAUGAGCCGAGUAGCCGUGAUGGGACACUCAUUUGGAGGAGCUACAGCUGUUCUGGCUUUGGCACAGGAGACUCAGUUCCGGUGUGCUGUGGCCCUGGAUGCUUGGAUGUUUCCUCUGGAACAUGACUUUUACCCCAAGGCCCGGGGCCCUGUGUUCUUUAUCAAUGCUGAGAAAUUCCAGACAGUGGAGAGCGUGAACUUGAUGAAGAAGAUAUGUUCCCAGCAUGAACAGUCCAGGAUCAUAACUGUCCUUGGCGUUGUUCAUCGGAGCCAAACCGACUUUGCUUUUGUGACUGGCAACUUGAUUGCCAAAUUCCUCUCCAGUCACACUCGAGGGACAUUGGAUCCUUAUGAAGGUCAGGAGAUUAUGGUGCGAGCCAUGUUGGCCUUCCUGCAGAAGCACCUUGAUGAAUAUACUAAAGCUUAGAAAAUUCCAGUAGUUUGUUCAAGGUUCCCAGAUGAUGCUGGCAGUGCCAACGCGCUGCCCUAGUUGUUCAGUUUCAAAGACCACAAGCUUCAUUGCCAGACUGUGCUAUCGUGCCACAUUAUGUCCUUGACCACAGUGUACAUGCAGUGACUGCCUCAGGAGACCCAGAGGACAGACCUGAAGGAGAACUACGAUCAAUGGAACAGCUUCAUCGAAGGCAUUGGACCGUCGCUCAUUCCAGGGGCCCCACACCAUCUGUCUAGUCUCUAAGCACAACUGAUCAUCUGUAGGUCACUUGAGCUGAGUUUCCAUUUGGGAGCUGCCCUGGGGGGCACUUGUAACCUAUCAGGAAGUGAUCAGGCCUCAUCCCUUUCUCACAGAUUGAUUGAUCACACUGCUGAUUGUGUACCUAGGUACUUUGAUCUUGGACUUGAUUUUGAAUUCACUGGAAUGUGGAUCACUGACUGAUUGGCAGGCUGACUUCUUGUUUUGAGACAGGGUCUCAUAUCCCAGGCUGGCCCUGAACUCACUAUGUAGUGAGGAUGACCUUGAACUUCUGAUUCACCUGCCUCCGCCUCCCAAGUGCUGGAGUGCAGAAUCACAGACAUGUGCCACUACGCCUGGUUUAUGAUGCGGUGCUAAGCAUUAAACUCUACCAACUGAGCAUUCUCAUCCUUUAGCAAGCUAACUUUCUGGGGCUGAGCCCCGAGAGUUUGAGGAACAAACAUUGGGGUGAGGCUAGUUGAGACCCAGACCUCAAGCUGAGCCCCAUGAGGCCUGGGUGUGAAGACAGCCCGGUGAGCCCACUCUCUCCCAUUGGGCCAGUAUUGCCUUUUUAGUAUAAGGGGUGAAGCCAAAGGACAGAGGGGAAUCUCAGCAGGGCCUCCAGCCCCGCCUGGUACUCUACCCUGCCUCCCAGCCCUCUCUUUUUCCAAGGCCACUUGGUGAAAUAUACUUUAGAGAAUGCUCUGGUUUUCCACUUAUUUGGGGGUCUUCCCACAGCAUGAAACACAGUAAUAGACACUUAGUACUGUUGUGUUUAGGAGCCCAUGGGGUCAGACAGUACUGUCCUCAUAACACAGGGAGCAACACUAAGACACAGAGAGGUACCACAGAAGUUCUGUGUGUCUUUGCAGUUAUGCAAAAGUCUGUCUUGUCAGCUGAGGAGCCAUUUGUACAGGCCACAGAGCAUACUGGGUCGGUCAGCUCAAACUCAGCCACUCCUAGAGAGUUCUAGGGUUGACUUGGUCUUGCCUCUUACCUCUAAGACCAAAACCUCCAACUUGGCCCAAAUCUGGGUGUUUUAAUCAUCUGUGUUUUGGGCUCUGAUACCAUCACCCCAAAUUUGUCAAGAAACAGACCCACUUUCCAUCCUGUUGCUUCUCUAAUUUGAAUGUUGACACUCGUGUUUACCUAAUGGCACGUUGCAAUGCCCCACCUAUUCAACCUGCAUUAGAGAGUCGGGAAGCCAUCUCUGGAAGUGACUCUUCCUUCUGCCUGUGUUCACUCACUGCAUGGGCCCCUGUAGAAAGUCUUCAGAAGGAAAGGAAAUCUUCCCAGAGAUCUAGUGCCAAGCAGCAUGGGAAAGCCAGUCCAAAACUCCAUCUCCAUCACACAACCUCUCGCCUCCUCUGGAAACACAAAAGGAAAAAGCACCUCUACACAGUGGUCCCAGGUGAGGCCGCCCAAGCUGGAGGAGCUAUGAAUUCUGGAGAAACACGUCUCAUUAGAGCCAUGGCUCUGCAGUUACACAACCCGGCUGUGAGUCUCAGCUUUACCACUGGGUAAAUCUAAGCAAAUUAUUUUGAUCUCAGUUCCUACAAAUCUAAGAUGAGGGUCUGCUUUACAAAUUAAGUGAGGGGAUGUAUAACCCAUGUUUUAUUAAAAUAUGCAUUGCCCA